rnacentral:rRNA from 1 species
UACGGAGGUGGCAAGCGUUGCUCGGAAUCACUGGGCGUAAAGGGCGCGUAGGCGGGGAGGUAAGUCGGGUGUGAAAUCCCUCGGCCCAACCGAGGAACUGCGCCCGAGACUGCUUCUCUUGAGUCCCGGAGAGGAAGGUGGAAUUCCCGGUGUAGCGGUGAAAUGUGUAGAGAUCGGGAGGAACACCGGUGGCGAAGGCGGCCUUCUGGGCCAACACUGACGCUCAUGCACGAAAGCGUGGGGAGCAAACAGG